rnacentral:rRNA from 1 species
AGAUCUAGCUUGCUAGAUGCUGACGAGUGGCGCACGGGUGCGUAACGCGUAUACAAUCUACCCUUAACUGAGGGAUAGCCCAGAGAAAUUUGGAUUAAUACCUCAUAGUAUUAUAAUUAGGCAUCUUUUUAUAAUUAAAACUUCGGUGGUUAAAGAUGAGUAUGCGUACUAUUAGCUAGUUGGUAAGGUAAAAGCUUACCAAGGCAACGAUAGUUAGGGGGCCUGAAAGGGUGAUCCCCCACACUGGUACUGAGACACGGACCAGACUCCUACGGGAGGCAGCAGUGAGGAAUAUUGCACAAUGGAGGAAACUCUGAUGCAGCCAUGCCGCGUGCAGGAAGAAUGCCCUAUGGGUUGUAAACUGCUUUUAUACAAGAAGAAACCUCAGUACGUGUACUGACUUGACGGUAUUGUAUGAAUAAGCACCGGCUAACUCCGUGCCAGCAGCCGCGGUAAUACGGAGGGUGCAAGCGUUAUCCGGAUUUAUUAGGUUUAAAGGGUCCGCAGGCGGAAUAUUAAGUCAGUGGUGAAAGCCUACAGCUCA